CCGAGUUUACGCCAUUGUAAAUUCCGUCAACGCAGUGCACAAGGCGAGUGGUGUUGUCACUUGUCACCUCUUUUCUUUGAAUUUCCACCAACCCUUCCACUCUGUCUUUGAGUUUGACUCUCACAACAGAAAAAAACAAGAACCAUGGUGGACCAUUUCAUUGUUUGCAUUGAUCGUAUAAUACCUUCCACCUCUUGUUUACCAUCACCGCCGCACCAUGAUCAUGUUCCAGAACAAGAACAAGCCUGCUCCUCCUCCAAUUCUUCCUCUUCAAAUUACAAGCGUCACGAUGAUGAUGUGGUUGUGGAGUGUAGAAUAUGUCAGGAGGAAGAUCAAAUCCAUUUCAUGGAGGCCCCUUGUUCCUGUAAUGGCACUCUCAAGUUUGCUCAUAGAAAGUGCAUCCAAAAGUGGUGCAACAAGAAAGGAAAUACAAUAUGUGAAAUCUGCAAUCAGGUAUUUUCACCAAACUAUUCUCUUCCAAUAGUCAGAAGCAACGACAUUAUAGCAAUUGAUCUAAGGCAAGAAUGGGAGCGUAAUACAGAUCUUCGUGUUGCUCUAACAUCAGCAGAGAACCAGUUAAUGCAAAGAGAAUAUGAAGAAUAUGCUAUCACACAAACCAGUAGCAUCGCUUGCGUCCGCUGUGCCACUCUCAUUUUGCUGAUAGUCUUGCUUGUACGCCAAGCCUUAAUGGUUACAACGAACUCUGCAACCAGGCGCGAUUCAUCAAGAAUGUUUGAUUGUAUCUGGAUACGAUGAAGGAUGUACACAAAGGUGAUAGAUCAAAGAGUUCAAAAGAAGGAUAUAUACGAAAUUAAAGAAGAAUUGAAUGCUUUUUGUCCUUUUCAGCCAAAUUGUUUAGCCUUUAGUAGUUUGUGUCGAUGUGUGUCGUGACAAAUUGAUAAUAGGACAGGCACAGAACAGCUUCAAGUUCCGAAAUAGUAAAGUGAUAUUAAGGUUUAGAGUUUAGACACCGGUUAAUUUAGUAAUUUGAACUUGAAUUGAAUGAUGUGCUAGUUGCUAACAUGGAAUGGUGAAUGGCAGUUUGAGAUGUCACUUCUUCAAUUUGCCGGCAUUCUUUUCCCGUGUUGCGCAAUGGCACGUUCCUGGUAUCUCAUACAGAACAGAAGAAGACAGGGGUAAGCAAGGGAAGAGUACACAGAUGCUGAUAAUUUCCUUUUCUUUUUUUGGGUCAACAUUUUCCUUGGUUAUCAGAGAAAAAUUGUAGAAGUUACAUAUAGAAGCUACAUGGCUUUUUGUAUGUCAAAUACUCAAAUGUAUUGAAUUUGUACAUUGUGUUAGAUGAUUAAAAAAAUAAAUAAUAAUGUGAUGGGAUCUUUAUGGGAAAUGAGCAAAUAGCUAAUUUCAGUGUGGCAUUUAAGCCAUGGAGCAA